GUCCAGGGAUGGGAAACGAACCCACAAUGUUCUGCUUACCGGGCAGAUGCCAUGUCCACUAGGCUACCCUGGA
rnacentral:tRNA from 1 species